rnacentral:rRNA from 1 species
CCUACGGGAGGCAGCAGUGGGGAAUAUUGGACAAUGGGGGGAACCCUGAUCCAGCCAUGCCGCGUGUGUGAAGAAGGCCCUCGGGUUGUAAAGCACUUUCAGUGAGGAAGAACGCCUGGUGGUUAAUACCCAUCAGGAAAGACAUCACCCACAGAAGAAGCACCGGCUAACUCCGUGCCAGCAGCCGCGGUAAUACGGAGGGUGCGAGCGUUAAUCGGAAUUACUGGGCGUAAAGCGCGCGUAGGUGGCUUGAUAAGCCGGUUGUGAAAGCCCCGGGCUCAACCUGGGAACGGCAUCCGGAACUGUCAAGCUAGAGUGCAGGAGAGGAAGGUAGAAUUCCCGGUGUAGCGGUGAAAUGCGUAGAGAUCGGGAGGAAUACCAGUGGCGAAGGCGGCCUUCUGGACUGAGACUGACACUGAGGUGCGAAAGCGUGGGUAGCAAACAGGAUUAGAUACCCGAGUAGUC